GGGGAUGUAAAGGUUUCGACGUGGAUGGUUGUAUCAUGAAUAGCGAGCCGGGGUGUCAUCUGCCCGUAAAUCGGUGAAAACGUUAAAUUAAACGCUAAAGAAGAAAACUUUGCUUUAGCUGCCUAAGUGCAGCUAACGUCCCGUUUCUCCAUUCCUGCGGGCGGAAUGGGGCGUCAUAUAGCAGGAUACCUGCCGGCCUUACCUGGAAGCCGGUACGGGAAUCUCACAGGCUGGAGUCAGUCUAGUUUGUCCUUGUACGACAACUGCUCGAGAUAACUAACAAGGUCUGCGCUCGGAGAAGUUCAUGGGGCAGCAUUUACGGACAGGAGUUCGACUCUCCUCAUCUCCACCA
rnacentral:tmRNA from 1 species